CAGUAGGGAGUGGGGGAUGGGAGAGGGCGCCCCGCCCACCUUGACCAUCUUUCGUCUAGACUGAGAAGUGUGGGGAGGCAAACACAGUGCUAUGAGGACAAGAGAAGGAGAUGGAGACGCUGCUGUUCACCCACAUCCUCAAGCCUGAAGCACGGGACUCAGCUGAGAAGGCUUCUUGCCCACCUGCCAUCUUCCUACUGGACAUCCAAAAUAGGUCUGCAGUACCAUCACCUUGAACCACGCCACCAUCACCUCUCAGCUGGCUGCAACAGUUCUGGGUUGCUUCCCUUGCUUGCCGGUGGGCCCUUCCAUCUACUUUCCCCCUGGCAGCUAGGACCUUAAGAUUUUGUUGUUCCUCUACCGCAUCCUUCAGAUCUCAGCACAAACAUCAUUUCUUCUAUAAACAUAUGCCUGAUGCCCUUUCAAGUGCUUGGAUUGAUGGUGUCAGUGCUCCACCCUUAAAGGGGUGGAGCCAGGAUGUGAUGUAAUGGCAGAAAGAAGAUGUGUCUUGCUCUUUGCUGGUUCCGGCUUGCUGUUUGCAACAGCCAUGAACUGCGGCCCAGCCAUGCCUGCCUGCCUUGGAGCCAACUGAGUGUGGACUGAAACCUCCAAAAACUCCAUCUUUUGUCUACCCCUCAGUCAUAUGCCACCUGCAGACCAUCAGCAGUCUGCCGCUCAAGUUCUCCAGCACUAACCCUGAGAGAAAGGAAUCUAGCAAGAAUCUGGAGAUCACAGACAAAGACAAACUGCAGUUUAAGAACCCUUGGCCAAAAGUGCAAAGUCACAAAGCCACAAUAAUGGAUUUUCAGGGCAAAAAGAAGUCGGGGCUCCAAGGCACAUGGAGAAAUGGACAGAACAAGACUCUACAGCAGCUCCUAAAUCAGCAACCCACAAUGUCUGCCUUCCUGAUUUCAAUAUUAGAUUUUUAAAACAAUAAAAUUAAAUGAAUGAACAAA